UGGUCUAUAGCUCAGCGGCAGAGCAGAGAGCUGUUAACUCUAAGGUCCCUUGUUCGAAUCAAGGUAGAUCAGCCA
rnacentral:tRNA from 1 species